GAUGAACGCUGGCGGCGUGCCUAACACAUGCAAGUCGAACGAAGCACCUUACCUGAUUCUUCGGAUGAAAGUUUGGUGACUGAGUGGCGGACGGGUGAGUAACGCGUGGGUAACCUGCCCUGUACAGGGGGAUAACAGCUGGAAACGGCUCUAAUACCGCAUAAGCGCACGAGGAGACAUCUCCUUGUGUGAAAAACUCCGGUGGUACAGGAUGGGCCCGCGUCUGAUUAGCUGGUUGGCAGGGUAACGGCCUACCAAGGCAACGAUCAGUAGCCGGUCUGAGAGGAUGAACGGCCACAUUGGAACUGAGACACGGUCCAAACUCCUACGGGAGGCAGCAGUGGGGAAUAUUGCACAAUGGGGGAAACCCUGAUGCAGCAACGCCGCGUGAGUGAAGAAGUAUUUCGGUAUGUAAAGCUCUAUCAGCAGGGAAGAUAAUGACGGUACCUGACGAAGAAGCUCCGGCUAAAUACGUG
rnacentral:rRNA from 1 species